GGUUAAGCGACUAAGCGUACACGGUGGAUGCCCUGGCAGUCAGAGGCGAUGAAGGACGUGCUAAUCUGCGAUAAGCGUCGGUAAGGUGAUAUGAACCGUUAUAACCGGCGAUUUCCGAAUGGGGAAACCCAGUGUGAUUCGUCACACUAUCAUUAACUGAAUCCAUAGGUUAAUGAGGCGAACCGGGGGAACUGAAACAUCUAAGUACCCCGAGGAAAAGAAAUCAACCGAGAUUCCCCCAGUAGCGGCGAGCGAACGGGGAGGAGCCCAGAGCCUGAAUCAGUGUGUGUGUUAGUGGAAGCGUCUGGAAAGGCGCGCGAUACAGGGUGACAGCCCCGUACACAAAAAUGCACAUACUGUGAGCUCGAUGAGUAGGGCGGGACACGUGGUAUCCUGUCUGAAUAUGGGGGGACCAUCCUCCAAGGCUAAAUACUCCUGACUGACCGAUAGUGAACCAGUACCGUGAGGGAAAGGCGAAAAGAACCCCGGCGAGGGGAGUGAAAAAGAACCUGAAACCGUGUACGUACAAGCAGUGGGAGCACAGAGCAAUCUGUGUGACUGCGUACCUUUUGUAUAAUGGGUCAGCGACUUAUAUUCUGUAGCAAGGUUAACCGAAUAGGGGAGCCGAAGGGAAACCGAGUCUUAACCGGGCGUUAAGUUGCAGGGUAUAGACCCGAAACCCGGUGAUCUAGCCAUGGGCAGGUUGAAGGUUGGGUAACACUAACUGGAGGACCGAACCGACUAAUGUUGAAAAAUUAGCGGAUGACUUGUGGCUGGGGGGUGAAAGGCCAAUCAAACCGGGAGAUAGCUGGUUCUCCCCGAAAGCUAUUUAGGUAGCGCCUCGUGAAUUCAUCUCCGGGGUAGAGCACUGUUUCGGCAAGGGGUCAUCCCGACUUACCAACCCGAUGCAAACUGCGAAUACCGGAGAAUGUUAUCACGGGAGACACACGGCGGGUGCUAACGUCCGUCGUGAAGAGGGAAACAACCCAGACCGCCAGCUAAGGUCCCAAAGUCAUGGUUAAGUGGGAAACGAUGUGGGAAGGCCCAGACAGCCAGGAUGUUGGCUUAGAAGCAGCCAUCAUUUAAAGAAAGCGUAAUAGCUCACUGGUCGAGUCGGCCUGCGCGGAAGAUGUAACGGGGCUAAACCAUGCACCGAAGCUGCGGCAGCGACACUGUGUGUUGUUGGGUAGGGGAGCGUUCUGUAAGCCUGUGAAGGUGUGCUGUGAGGCAUGCUGGAGGUAUCAGAAGUGCGAAUGCUGACAUAAGUAACGAUAAAGCGGGUGAAAAGCCCGCUCGCCGGAAGACCAAGGGUUCCUGUCCAACGUUAAUCGGGGCAGGGUGAGUCGACCCUAAGGCGAGGCCGAAAGGCGUAGUCGAUGGGAAACAGGUUAAUAUUCCUGUACUUGGUGUUACUGCGAAGGGGGGACGGAGAAGGCUAUGUUGGCCGGGCGACGGUUGUCCCGGUUUAAGCGUGUAGGCUGGUUUUCCAGGCAAAUCCGGAAAAUCAAGGCUGAGGCGUGAUGACGAGGCACUACGGUGCUGAAGCAACAAAUGCCCUGCUUCCAGGAAAAGCCUCUAAGCAUCAGGUAACAUCAAAUCGUACCCCAAACCGACACAGGUGGUCAGGUAGAGAAUACCAAGGCGCUUGAGAGAACUCGGGUGAAGGAACUAGGCAAAAUGGUGCCGUAACUUCGGGAGAAGGCACGCUGAUAUGUAGGUGAAGUCCCUCGCGGAUGGAGCUGAAAUCAGUCGAAGAUACCAGCUGGCUGCAACUGUUUAUUAAAAACACAGCACUGUGCAAACACGAAAGUGGACGUAUACGGUGUGACGCCUGCCCGGUGCCGGAAGGUUAAUUGAUGGGGUCAGCGCAAGCGAAGCUCUUGAUCGAAGCCCCGGUAAACGGCGGCCGUAACUAUAACGGUCCUAAGGUAGCGAAAUUCCUUGUCGGGUAAGUUCCGACCUGCACGAAUGGCGUAAUGAUGGCCAGGCUGUCUCCACCCGAGACUCAGUGAAAUUGAACUCGCUGUGAAGAUGCAGUGUACCCGCGGCAAGACGGAAAGACCCCGUGAACCUUUACUAUAGCUUGACACUGAACAUUGAGCCUUGAUGUGUAGGAUAGGUGGGAGGCUUUGAAGUGUGGACGCCAGUCUGCAUGGAGCCGACCUUGAAAUACCACCCUUUAAUGUUUGAUGUUCUAACGUGGACCCGUGAUCCGGGUUGCGGACAGUGUCUGGUGGGUAGUUUGACUGGGGCGGUCUCCUCCUAAAGAGUAACGGAGGAGCACGAAGGUUGGCUAAUCCUGGUCGGACAUCAGGAGGUUAGUGCAAUGGCAUAAGCCAGCUUGACUGCGAGCGUGACGGCGCGAGCAGGUGCGAAAGCAGGUCAUAGUGAUCCGGUGGUUCUGAAUGGAAGGGCCAUCGCUCAACGGAUAAAAGGUACUCCGGGGAUAACAGGCUGAUACCGCCCAAGAGUUCAUAUCGACGGCGGUGUUUGGCACCUCGAUGUCGGCUCAUCACAUCCACGGGGCUGAAGUAGGUCCCAAGGGUAUGGCUGUUCGCCAUUUAAAGUGGUACGCGAGCUGGGUUUAGAACGUCGUGAGACAGUUCGGUCCCUAUCUGCCGUGGGCGCUGGAGAACUGAGGGGGGCUGCUCCUAGUACGAGAGGACCGGAGUGGACGCAUCACUGGUGUUCGGGUUGUCAUGCCAAUGGCACUGCCCGGUAGCUAAAUGCGGAAGAGAUAAGUGCUGAAAGCAUCUAAGCACGAAACUUGCCCCGAGAUGAGUUCUCCCUGACCCUUUAAGGGUCCUGAAGGAACGUUGAAGACGACGACGUUGAUAGGCCGGGUGUGUAAGCGCAGCGAUGCGUUGAGCUAACCGGUACUAAUGAACCGUGAGGCUUAACCUU
rnacentral:rRNA from 1 species